UUAAGUUCAGCGGGUAGUCCUACCUGAUUUGAGGUCAAGUCAAAAAAGAUAUGCCUCCAAAGAGACAGUCCAAAACAAUGGACCAUUAGAAGCUGAACAAAUGACCUUUCAGCAACGGCAUAGAUAGUAUUAUCAAACCAGAGCCGAACGUACAAGUUCUGCUAAUGCAUUUAAGAGGAGCUGACAAUCAAUGCCUGCAA
rnacentral:misc_RNA from 1 species